AUUUACUGCUCAAUUUUCACACACAAGGAAAAGGAAAUGCAAAAUCAUAUGAUAUUGUAAAACCAAAAUAGAGCAGAACUAAGGGGCACCAAAUAAGCCAACACCACUACGCAAGCAACACUACAAUUACAAAUGAAUGCAUUACUGCAAAAAUGCAUUAUGAAUAAAGAACUUACACUACAAUGGUGUCUAGGUCCAAGGUCAUCAAUGGCUC
rnacentral:lncRNA from 1 species